ACACCAAAGCUGUAUGUGUCAACCUUCUCAGAGAGUUGCCCAUGGAUGGCAUAUUCAGGAGCUGUGUAACCCCUGCUUAAGUGAAUAUAAUUAGAAACACGAUAUAUGCCCCUAAAGCAAUAUUUUCAUCUUCGAACUUACAAUGUUCCUGCAAAUUUAGUGCUGAGAUGACUAUGAUCAUCAGGUAGGAGCCUUGCUAAACCGAAAUCAGCAAUCUUUGGCUGAAACUCAUCAUCAAGAAGAACAUUGCUAGAUUUAAUGUCACGGUGUAUGAUGCAGACAUGAAAUUCUUGAUGAAGAUAUCCAAGGCCACGAGCCAUGCCAACGAUGAUGUUAAAUCGUUGCUUCCAAUUAAGCGUACCACGUUUAUCACCUGUUAAGAUAAAACAAGGCCAUUGUCAAA
rnacentral:sRNA from 1 species